GAGAUGGAUUGGUGCCUUCGGGAACUCUGAGACAGGUGCUGCAUGGCUGUCGUCAGCUCGUGUUGUGAAAUGUUGGGUUAAGUCCCGCAACGAGCGCAACCCUUAUCCUUUGUUGCCAGCGGUUCGGCCGGGAACUCAAAGGAGACUGCCAGUGAUAAACUGGAGGAAGGUGGGGAUGACGUCAAGUCAUCAUGGCCCUUACGAGUAGGGCUACACACGUGCUACAAUGGCAUAUACAAAGAGAAGCGACCUCGCGAGAGCAAGCGGACCUCAUAAAGUAUGUCGUAGUCCGGAUUGGAGUCUGCAACUCGACUCCAUGAAGUCGGAAUCGCUAGUAAUCGUAGAUCAGAAUGCUACGGUGAAUACGUUCCCGGGCCUUGUACACACCG
rnacentral:rRNA from 1 species